rnacentral:rRNA from 1 species
UACGUAGGAGGCAAGCGUUAUCCGGAAUGACUGGGCGUAAAGGGUGCGUAGGUGGUUUGGCAAGUUGGUAGCGUAAUCCCGGGGCUCAACCUCGGUGCUACUACCAAAACUGUUGAACUUGAGUGCAGGAGGGGUGAAUGGAAUUCCCAGUGUAGCGGUGGAAUGCGUAGAUAUUAGGAGGAACACCAGUGGCGAAGGCGGCUUACUGGACGAUGACUGACGCUGAGGCUCGAAAGCGUGGGGAGCAAACAGG